CAGCCGCCACGGGAACACGAGGGGGGCUAGCGUUGCUCGGAAUUACUGGGCGUAAAGGGCGCGUAGGCGGACAGUUCAGUCGGGGGUGAAAGCCCGGGGCUCAACCUCGGAAUUGCCUUCGAUACUGGCUGUCUUGAGUAUGAGAGAGGUGUGUGGAACUCCGAGUGUAGAGGUGAAAUUCGUAGAUAUUCGGAAGAACACCAGUGGCGAAGGCGACUCUCUGGUCUGUAACUGACGCUGAGGAGCGAAAGCGUGGGGAGCGAACAGGAUUAGAUACCCGUGUAGUCCCUGUCUCUUAUAC
rnacentral:rRNA from 1 species